CCUACGGGCGGCAGCAGUGGGGAAUAUUGCACAAUGGGCGCAAGCCUGAUGCAGCCAUGCCGCGUGUGUGAAGAAGGCCUUCGGGUUGUAAAGCACUUUCAGCGGGGAGGAAGGCGUUAAGGUUAAUAACCUUGGCGAUUGACGUUACCCGCAGAAGAAGCACCGGCUAACUCCGUGCCAGCAGCCGCGGUAAUACGGAGGGUGCAAGCGUUAAUCGGAAUUACUGGGCGUAAAGCGCACGCAGGCGGUCUGUCAAGUCGGAUGUGAAAUCCCCGGGCUCAACCUGGGAACUGCAUUCGAAACUGGCAGGCUAGAGUCUUGUAGAGGGGGGUAGAAUGCCAGGUGUAGCGGUGAAAUGCGUAGAGAUCUGGAGGAAUACCGGUGGCGAAGGCGGCCCCCUGGACAAAGACUGACGCUCAGGUGCGAAAGCGUGGGGAGCAAACAGGAUUAGAUACCCGUGUAGUC
rnacentral:rRNA from 1 species